UGCCAGCAGCCGCGGUAAUACGGAGGGGGCUAGCGUUGUUCGGAAUUACUGGGCGUAAAGCGGGUGUAGGCGGACCGGCCAGUCGGGGGUGAAAGCCCAGGGCUCAACCCUGGAAUAGCCUUCGAUACUUCCGGUCUAGAGUGUGGGAGAGGUGAGCGGAAUUCCGAGUGUAGAGGUGAAAUUCGUAGAUAUUCAGAGGAACACCAGAGGCGAAGGCGGCUCACUGGCUCGAUACUGACGCUGAGGUGCGAAAGUGUGGGGAGCAAACAGGAUUAGAUG
rnacentral:rRNA from 1 species